rnacentral:rRNA from 1 species
UGGGGAAUAUUGCGCAGUGGGCGAAAGCCUGACGCAGCGACGCCGCGUGAGGGAUGAAGGUUUUCGGAUCGUAAACCUCUGUCAGAAGGGAAGAAACUACAUUGUGCUAAUCAGCAGUGUACUGACGGUACCUUCAAAGGAAGCACCGGCUAACUCCGUGCCAGCAGCCGCGGUAAUACGGAGGGUGCAAGCGUUAAUCGGAAUUACUGGGCGUAAAGCGCACGUAGGCUGUAGUGUAAGUCAGGGGUGAAAUCCCACGGCUCAACCGUGGAACUGCCUUUGAUACUGCACAACUUGAAUCCGGGAGAGGGUGGCGGAAUUCCAGGUGUAGGAGUGAAAUCCGUAGAUAUCUGGAGGAACAUCAGAGGCGAAGGCGGCCACCUGGACCGGUAUUGACGCUGAGGUGCGAAAGCGUGGGGAGCAAACAG